GUGCCUAUUAACACUUCACAAAUAUAAGUAGUGCUUGUCAAUAUCACAAAGUAUAACUCUCUAUUGUUAUUGAAUCCAGUCCCUGCUUAUUUUACAAACGAGUUUAAAGCUGAAACAAUCCGGCAAGGAAAUCCACUGCGUAUCACGUGCAAAGUGUUUGGUGAUCACCCGUUGAGGGUCGAGUGGAAAAAAGAUGGCGAAAACCUGGACUUCCGUUUGAAUAGAAGGUAUGAUAUAACCCAAACUCUAACCGACGAUGGCACGUCAUCACAACUGCAGGUCCAAUCAGCAGACAGAAGAGAUUCCUCUCUCUUCACUUGUGUAGGUUCAAACAGCUUCGGCAAAGAUGAAAUGAAUAUACAGAUCAUCGUACAAGAACCUCCUGACAGACCAUCUAGGAUUAUUGUGGAGAGGGUGGAAAGUAGAAAAGUGACGUUGUCUUGGUCAACACCUUACUCUGGAAACAGUGCCAUCACACGAUACAUCUUAGGAUACUGGCGGA